rnacentral:tRNA from 1 species
GGUAAAAUGGCUGAGUAAGCAUUAGACUGUAAAUCUAAAGACAGAGGUU